rnacentral:lncRNA from 1 species
GCCAGGAGUACCACUAACAUACUAGCACUUUUACCUGCAAGGGAAUGGGGAUGCUGGUCACAACUUCACACAAUUGUCCAAAGGGCAGGCAAGCAACUAUAAACACUCCUCUCCUCACUGGACCUGUGACCAGGGUCCCUGAAUGUUUGCAGUUACAAGUGUUCCCAUUUCCUAUGACUCUAGAUGACUUGAGCUCCUCUCCCACAGUCACAAGAAUAAAUAUUCUUUUAUGCCUUGAACCUGAGAGUAAGUUCCCUCCUACCCUGUGAGAAAUUGUGUUUCUUUUUUGUUGUUGUUGUUGUUGCCCAAUCAUUCUUCUAGCCUAUGUCUUGUUGUCUUUUAACUUCAGGAUAAAAUUAGGCUCUACUUCCAGGUGAAGGAGGAACUUUCCCAAGCUUCAGAGAUUUGUGUGUGUGUGUGUGUGUGUUGUCAUUUUCAAAGCUUAUUCUGGAGGAAGGGGACUUGAAUAUUUUUGUUUCUUUCAAGGUGGCAUGAUCAAGAUGAAGGUGUUCUUGUCUGUGAGACUAAGUCAUAUUUCCAGAGUCAGAAGAAGUAAAAACACUUGGAACUAUCCUCUACAUGUAGAUCUGCUUGUAACCUUGUGGAACUGUAUCGGGUCACCAAGGCCAGAUAUAGUGAAAGUGACUAACAUGAUGACUAACAUGCUCUUCAGAAAUCCACUCAGUCAGAAAUGUCCAGAUUACAGACGAACUGAGGCCCCGAUUUGGAUCAACAUGACAUCUAACGUCUUUCAGCAUACACCUGAAACUAACAUCUGUGAAAUUCUGCUAUUUAAUGAAGAGGGUAUCUUUGAGAUGGAAGCCAGUGGGCUGUGAUACUGUUCAUUUUCAAACAGAGUUCCUGACAAUUAGUGACACUUAUAUAACCUAUAGCUAAGAUUUGCAACUCUGAAUACACAUGGAUGAGUUAAGCCUUGAUAACAACUCUCUCUCUCUCUCUCUCUCUCUCUCUCUCUCUCUCUCUCUCUCUCUCUCUCUCUCUGUCUCCCUCCUUCUAGGCUGAGCCUUUGACAAUAUAAGAACUUGGCUGAUAUCUUUCUAAGGGCUCUGCUUUCCUUUAGUCACUGAGGUGAAUAAAACAUGUUAAAAAGAUUUCA